AAUGGGCGCAAGCCUGAUCCAGCCAUGCCGCGUGAGCGAUGAAGGCCUUAGGGUUGUAAAGCUCUUUCACCGGUGAAGAUAAUGACGGUAGCCGGAGAAGAAGCCCCGGCUAACUCCGUGCCAGCAGCCGCGGUAAUACGGAGGGGGCUAGCGUUGUUCGGAAUUACUGGGCGUAAAGCGCGCGUAGGCGGGCUGUUAAGUCGGGGGUGAAAUCCCGGGGCUCAACCCCGGAACUGCCCUCGAUACUGGCAGCCUAGAGAUCGAGAGAGGUGAGUGGAAUUCCGAGUGUAGAGGUGAAAUUCGUAGAUAUUCGGAGGAACACCAGUGGCGAAGGCGGCUCACUGGCUCGAUACUGACGCUGAGGUGCGAAAGCGUGGGGAGCAAACAGGAUU
rnacentral:rRNA from 1 species